UAAUGCUGAUAGUGUGGUAGCCUCUUACC
rnacentral:piRNA from 1 species